UAAGCUUCUCGGCCUUUUGGCUAAGAUCAAGGGUAGUAUCUGUCCUUGUCAGUUUAGGUAUAAGAGUAAUUGUGGCUUCAUAGAAGGAAUUCGGUAGUGCUCCAUAUGUUUCAAUUUUGUGGAAUAGUUUGGAUAAUAUUGGUAUGAGGUCUUCUAUGAAGGUCUGAUAGAAUUCUGCACUAAACCUGUCUGGAUAUGGGCUCUU
ensembl:snRNA U2 U2 spliceosomal RNA